rnacentral:rRNA from 1 species
CUACGGGGGGCUCCAGUGGGGAAUCUUAGACAAUGGGGGAAACCCUGAUCUAGCCAUGCCGCGUGAGUGAUGAAGGCCUUAGGGUCGUAAAGCUCUUUCGCCAGGGAUGAUAAUGACAGUACCUGGUAAAGAAACCCCGGCUAACUCCGUGCCAGCAGCCGCGGUAGUACGGAGGGGGUUAGCGUUGUUCGGAAUUACUGGGCGUAAAGCGCGCGUAGGCGGGCUGUUAAGUUAGAGGUGAAAUCCCGGGGCUCAACCCCGGAACUGCCUUUAAUACUGGCAGCCUAGAGUUCGAGAGAGGUGAGUGGAAUUCCGAGUGUAGAGGUGAAAUUCGUAGAUAUUCGGAGGAACACCAGUGGCGAAGGCGGCUCACUGGCUCGAUACUGACGCUGAGGUGCGAAAGCGUGGGGAGCAAACAGGAUUAGAUACCCCCGUAGUC